rnacentral:rRNA from 1 species
GGAGUCUGGGCCGUAUCUCAGUCCCAAUGUGGCCGUUCAACCUCUCAGUCCGGCUACUGAUCGUCACCUUGGUAGGCCGUUACCCCACCAACUAGUUAAUCAGACGCAAGCUCAUCUAUUAGCGGAUUACUCCUUUCCCAAUUGUAUCAUGCGAUACUCAUGGCAUAUGCGGUAUUAGCAAUGAUUUCUCACUGUUAUUCCCCUCUAAUAGGCAGAUUGCUUACGCGUUACUCACCAGUCCGCCACUAAAGCCAUUGUUAUAAAAUCAUCAUCAUUCCGGAUAAAUCUUUCAUUCAGAAUCAAAUAUAACGACUUCCGUUCGACUUGCAUGUCUUAUGUGCGCCGCCAGCGUUUAUC